UACGUAGGGGGCUAGCGUUGUCCGGAAUCAUUGGGCGUAAAGAGCGUGUAGGCGGUCCGGCAAGUCCGCUGUGAAAGUCGGGGGCUCAACCCUCGAAUGCCGGUGGAUACUGUCGGGCUAGAGUGCGGAAGAGGCGAGUGGAAUUCCUGGUGUAGCGGUGAAAUGCGCAGAUAUCGGGAGGAACACCAAUGGCGAAGGCAGCUCGCUGGGACGGUACUGACGCUGAGGCGCGAAAGCGUGGGGAGCAAACAGG
rnacentral:rRNA from 1 species